CCCUCCUUUCAGUCAGAGAACAGCAUAUAGAGAAGAAAAGAGCCGUUGUGACAAAAGGGAUCAGACACUGAGGAACUGUGAUGACCUACCCAAGAUCAAGCAAGUCAACAUUCCAUCAUGGAAUAGGAAGCUUCUCCUGAGUUCCUGGCCUCUAAAUGGGGAAUUACAUAGAGCUGUUGGCCUCUAGUUUUAAGCAGAAUAUUGGAGUCUCCAGGACGUCAGAGGAAGAGAGUAGAGGAUAAACUGAGACAGGCUGUGAUGUAUUUUAAGGUCUCUGUAAUUGCGGUGUGGUACAUUAAGAUGAACAAUUGUGGACAUAGGAGAGGUUCUGGUGGUGAUGAAAGGAUGGAGGUAUGGGAUGAGGCACUAUGUCAUUGCUGAGGGAGACUGAGCAAAAUGUUCCUCAGGGUUAGAAUUUAGAUUUUCUUUCCUUUUCUUUCUUUCUUUCUUUCUUUCUCUUUCUUUCUUUCUUUCUUUCUUUCUUUCUUUCUUUCUUUCUUUCUUUCUUUCUUUCUUUCUUUCUCUUUCUCUCACCUUCCUUCCUUCCUUCCUUCCUUCCUUCCUUCCUUCCUUCCCUCCCUCCUUCCUUCCUUCCUUCUUUUUCUUUCUUUCUUUCUUAGAAGGAGAAGUACUGAAUACAGAAUCAGAUAAGUAAAAGUGUUGUGAAGACCCCAGAAUAAACAAAGCUGGAAGCAACAUUAAAAUGAGGUCUUGACCAGAGUGUCAAAUGGAGACCUUUGUACCAAGGCUCAAAAUGCAGAGUUGCAUGAGCAUAGGCCAGCUGGAAACUGACCACCCAACUCAAAUGAAAACUGCCCCAGCUCUGCGGUGGUGGGGUUGGGUGGGCAGCUGUGUUCUGGUGAGUUACCAGAUUGUAAUGUUGGCUCAUACU